CAGACCAAAUUGGGUUUUGAGUUAAGACAUGAAAUAUGAUGAACUAAAGGAGUAAUUUACAUAUCUGGUGGCUUCUGUAUAUUUUGGAUGACACAGAUGGCUUAGAUUCCCAAUAUUUUCACCUAAGCUGUUUUUACUUACAAACAUCAUUGAAUGGGAGUAGCAGCUUUCAUCUCUUUCGCUCACUUUUAUAUCUAUCUAUGC
rnacentral:lncRNA from 1 species